GGGGAUUUAGCUCAGUGGUAGAGCACUUGCCUAGCAAGCGCAAGGCGCAAGGCGCAAGGCCCUGGGUUCGGUCCCCAGCUCCG
rnacentral:tRNA from 1 species